rnacentral:rRNA from 1 species
GACGAACGCUGGCGGCGUGCUUAACACAUGCAAGUCGAACGGAGAAAGCAGGGCUUUCUCUUCUGGAUGAGUGGCGAACGGGUGAGUAACACGUGAGUAACCUGCCCCAGACUCUGGAAUAAGCGCUGGAAACGGCGUCUAAUACCGGAUACGAGCCAGAGCUGCAUGGCUACUGUCUGGAAAUUUCUUCGGUCUGGGAUGGACUCGCGGCCUAUCAGCUUGUUGGUGAGGUAACGGCUCACCAAGGCAUCGACGGGUAGCCGGCCUGAGAGGGUGACCGGCCACACUGGGACUGAGACACGGCCCAGACUCCUACGGGAGGCAGCAGUGGGGAAUAUUGCACAAUGGGCGAAAGCCUGAUGCAGCGACGCCGCGUGAGGGAUGAUGGCCUUCGGGUUGUAAACCGCUUUCAGCAGGGAAGAAGCGAAAGUGACGGUACUUGCAGAAGAAGCACCGGCUAACUACGUG